AACCUGUUGGGGGUUUGCACUGUCUAAGCAGCACUUUGAAGGAUGAUACGCGGUGUUAUUCUCGUCGCGGCGUGUCUGGCGGCGGUGGCUGCUCUGCCCAUUGAACUAAAUGAGAACAGAAUGGCGUAUGUAAUGGAUAACAUGACGGCCAUUUUG